rnacentral:lncRNA from 1 species
CUAGAGAGAACGCCUCAAUCGGGAUCCACAAGCAAACAUCUCCGAAAAACACUUCAUAGACAAUGCAAAUUACAAACAGACUUUACAAGCUCUGAACAGUGGCACAACAAAGGGUAAAAUGGUCCAUUACAGACCGAAGGUCUCUCGCACGUGUCCACAUGACACAACCUUUAUUUACAAGCCUAAAGAGGCCACCAACCCAACUAAAAUGGGACUAUUGAGCCUUGAGUCGCCCCUCUACAUGCUGUACAAGGCAUGAACAUGUCAAAAGACACAGACAUACAUAAGCAUUACAUCAAACACCUUGUUUAAAAGUUUGUCCGUGACAUUCUCCCCCACUUAUUCCUUCGACGUCCUCGUUGAAGCCUUUGUCGACACUGCAACUCCUCGCCUUUGCUGAGUCUUCAAUCUUUUGCUCCAGCUACAAUGCGCCUCUUGGCUCCUUGUUACUCUCUGCUGCUGUUUUUGAGUAGUCGAACCUUUGAUCCGCCAUGCAGCUUCAACUCACCAAUGACUCUGACUCUGGUGUGGGGUUGGUUGAGUUGUGUUGAUCCUUGUUGAUUCCUGCGGAUCCCCCAAAUGAAGGAAAAGAUCAUCCUUACUGCGCCAGUCUCUCGAAUUUCUCAUGCUGCUAGAACUGGUUGGAUGCUUGUUGGAGCUUUAACGAGCAUCAUCUCGCAAACUUCUGAAGUUUUGGGUCCUUCCUCUACAAAAUCUGCUCAUUGACUCUUCUUUCACUUAGUUGUCACAUCCAAGUAGGUUCGCAUCACUUCCGCUUUCGAUUGGCAUUUCGUUAGGAAAUGAAGCGGACAAUCUACUCUUAGUAGCACCGAUCACCGUUGGUGAGGAUUUGACAACUAUUGUCUUCCAUUAUCUUCGAAGGGUCUUUGAACUUGUGCAGAGCUCCUCUGCUGGAUAGAUAAGAGAAUUGGGGUACUCGGUUUCGCCCAUUCUCUUAAGAGUUGAGAAGACAAAGGUUACUUGACUUCGCCCGCCUCCUCGAGAUUGUACCUCAUGCAUCGAGCUGGUUACUAGCCUUCGCCUGCUCUUUGCUCACACUUCUGAAGCACUUGAAGUGUUUGCACUCCUUGCGUUGAGUUAGCUACUGUGAUUCACCUUCUCAAUGCCAUCGAACUUAUGGAAUGCGAGAAGUUUUCACCCCAACUUGGAGUAGUUCUCUGGUAGAUGAGGUCGCCUCUGGGAUUGUACCGUCUUCUCCAUCAACCCUGUCGCCUACUCCACUGAGUAGCAAAGGUACAGCACCACGUACUGCCUGCUUCGUUCCUUGGUUAUGCACUCUUGCAUGACCCGAAGUCCUUCACUUUCGGCUAUCUUGAUGAGAAACUUGUUGACACCGAUCUUACGAAGUUUCUUGGCCUCUACCCUUCAGCCUUGUCUCGGUACUUGGAGAUUGCCUCUGCAUUCUCCACCUCCUCGGCCCCUUUCACGACCAAGCGCUCUCCCUCCAUGAGAGCAAGGGAUCAAUGACUUUCACGGAAGUCCCGCCUCCGCGGUACCAUGGCGCUGCCAUGCCCAUGGCCCUACUAUCCGUCGCCUCGCAUCUGCAUCCCUUUUCUUCACGAUCAGUAGAUAUGUCUCCGUGGCACUCCUCUGAGUCUACCUCCAUUCUAACUGAUGCUUGAUUUUGGGUAGCUAAGUCCCUCUGGACUCGUCGUCGCUUCCUCGCCCCUUUCGACCCCCUGCUUCAACACCUCUGUGUUUUCCAAGCAGUCUGUUGGUCGAUGGAAAGACAGACUGCAACUCCCAUGCAUGGCCUCUGCCAUCACUUUGUAGGGUUUGCACCAAUUCUGUUCUCCUUAGCUUCCUUGGUAGCAACGUUCGCUUACUCGACCUUGUCCUCUGACUUGCCGGGCUCCCUUAAGCGAAUAUGAGCUCUGGAGCAGUCCAACUCUCCAGCUGCUUCGAUCAUACCUCUGCAUGAUCAAGUUCCUCCCAUGGAACUCACUGGUACUUGCAUUCGAACUUUUCCCUUGGUGGAACCCAGCCCCCAUAUGCUGAUGACCAAGGUUUUCAUCCGAUGCAAAAUUCGAUGCACGCACGGAAGACCCGCCUCUGCGGUACCAUGGCCUUCACUCCUUGAAUCAAUAGCCCUUCUUGCCGUCAUGUUGUUCACUGAAGUGGAGAUCCCAGUAGCUCCCGAUCAUACCUCCAUAUGAUCUAGUCCCUCCCGGGACUCAGUCGUGUGUAUUGCAUUGCCACGAACUGUUCCACCACGAUCCGCUGCACCAUGUCGCCUCCUGGUGACAUCUCCAUUGCAUUCUGAUCCUUGUGGAAUAAACUCGAAUUGUGAACCCUCCAUGUGUGGCCUUUGCCAAUACAUCGCAGGGUCUCCUCCACCUUCGAUUUUGUUCGCUCCUUUGGCAAUCGACCUUCAUCCACCCACUCUUGGGUCACACCUAGAUGAAGCACCGCUCUAGGACAGUCCGUCGCCUAGUAGCUCCCGAAGUCCACCGACUUCACUGUAAUUUGUGCACCAUUGUCUGGAUCCUAGGCCUCUGCCCCUACCAGCACAAUCUCCGCUGCGCACUGCUUCCUUCAUGGCAACUUGAAUGACAACACUGUGGCAUAUUCUUCAAGAGUACCCGCCUCUGCGUCCUCUUGCCCCAUGCUAAGGCCUUUUGAACCCAACUUCGCCUCCGCAAAUUGAGUUACCUUCGUUCCUCCAUCAAAUGCUCCUCCAAGAUAAGGUGCAUGUGCCCAGAAGCUCCCUUCGUCUUUGGCACCAUGCAAGAUGAGUCCACUCCGACAGAAUGAAUGGCCCAUGGAACAACAUGAUCCUGCUCUUGCCUCUACAAGAGUUCAUGUCCUUGACCUCUGUCCAAGGAAAGCACUGUGCCUCUGCUCCAUGUUCCAACUUCUAUGCUGGCUCCCUUCAUGCGUCUUGGGUACUUCGCCAAGUUACACCCAAGUUGCUCCGCUCCUCGUUUUUGCAUUGAGUCGAUGGUGGCCCUCGCGCCCACCAUUCCACAGGUUAGCCCUCCCUUGAGUCCGAUCUCCACAUCGACUCCAAGUGUGCCUUCAUUUAAGUUGCUUUAGGUCGCUCCCCCACUUGAUCUCGCAAUGUAUCCACCAAUGCAUUCUCUCGAGCGAGAUCAUGCGACAACUCCCCACCGCUUGCUCAGUCCAUCGAGCUUCGUGGAGUUGUUGUUUGUUGAGGUACUCCUCCUCAACAUGUGAGGUCCGUCUCACAUGAUUCUCCCUCUGGAGAGCCGGGACUUAUCCCUCCUGGAUAACUGUCCCAUUGGAGCAACAUCUCUCUUCGUUUCGGAGACCACCAUCCCCUUGGACUACUCCGAUCUGCUGAACAAACUGUGCAUUGUUCUGCCUCCUACAAAUGCACUUGCUAGAUUGCGACUCCCCAUCAAUACAGUCCCCACUGCACCCCUCAAGGCCUAGCAACAUGCUGAACUCGUUGCACACUUCAGCCUCCUACGGACGUAUCCUUCACAUGCCGAAGAGAAAGUUCUAAUGCUCCAUGGCGCCGAGUUUCGGUCGCCUUGGGAUGGCCACGAACAUUCCAUCGUCCGCAUACAAGCCCAUGCAUGAGUACCAAAUUCUUUGAGUGAGCAAUUCCCCUCACCUCUGUGAGCUUUGCAUAACUCUUUUGGUCGUUGAGCAACUUAUUCCACCUUGAAUGGUCUCAUCCUUUUCCAAGUGCCUCGCUUGUCUUGAGCACCAUCAAGUACGGUUGUCAACGUUGAGCCGUAGCUCAAACUCAGCCAUCCCAACCUUUAUGCGCUCCACAUUCUUCCAAGCUUGCCUGUUCUCGUGGUGCCUCUUGGGCGAAGGGUUGGCCAUUCCUUUGAAUGCCAAUGUCAGAUGCCCGCUCCUCUGAGCGACUCCUUUUCCCUACAUCUCCAUGCCCGUUUUCCCCCAAACGGUCGCGCGUGUGUUGACUGCCCUCAACGCAGCCUCGUUAGGUCCCCCACGUUUGCAUGUUAAGUGUUUCUAUGAGUGCUUGUCCUGCUCUGAUACCAUCUGUCACGGACUUAGCUGGAUUUGCCUAAGUCGUGCGGCACCCUUGCGUGUCCGUCCGCAAAGGUCAGCCUCCCCGAAGUCUCCCAUUGUCCCCUUAGGACCAACAAAAGAGAGAACGGGCUAGAGAGAACGCCUCAAUCGGGAUCCACAAGCAAAAUCUCCGAAAAAUACUUCAUAGACAAUGCAAAUUACAAACAGACUUUACAAGCUCUGAACAGUGGCACAACAAAGGGUAAAAUGGUCCAUUACAGACCGAAGGUCUCUCGCACGUGUCCACAUGACACAACCUUUAUUUACAAGCCUAAAGAGGCCACUAACCCAACUAAAAUGGGA